CGACAAUGUACAUCUGUCAUCGCGGUUGGCUGCAGCGAACGUCUCAGCAGAGAACAGGCGUCUCUGUUCAAAUUUGUUUUCUACGAAGAGUAGAAUUCGAAUCCAGGAAGAAUGGAAUCCCCGAACUGUGGUGGCGUGAAUUUUCGUACGAGGAAUCACAAUGGUUCUAUUAAUAAAAAUCGUCCCAAAGGUUUUGGUUUUACUGGAGGCAGCGCUUCGAGUGAAGCGGAAAAUCCUCUCUACAUUGGCGUUGCGCGUCGUCUCGCAGGACAGAAAAGAUCGCUGGAUGGAGGAAACGUCAAAAGUAAAAUGUUUUCCGUUAAAGUUGAUUGGCAAAAUACCUAUGAUCACAUAUUUUUGACCUUGACUAAAGAUUCUGGUGGGAUUAUAGAAAGAAAACUGACCAUAGUCGAGAGUAUGGGCAUCGCAUUUUUAUAUCCAGAUAUUUACCGUAAGAUUGAAGAAUCAAUGAUGGAACUGGAUGAAUCGGAACUGUUAAGAUUUCUAUCAAAUGCAAACUUACUGCGAUCGAAAAUAGAUGCAGCUGCCAAGACAGUUCAAAAACAUCUUUCAAACAAGGAUAUUGAAAAUUUUGAGAACCAGACUAGAGCAAUACGAUUGCUAUAAAAAGCAAAUACAUUUGUCACAUCGAUGUAAAAUCUGGAAUUUCGAAAUUGAUCACUAAUGUUUUCUUUCUUUUGUUUGCUGGUGUUGAACGAGUAUAUUAAUAAAAUAAAUCUUGUGAGCAGUAGGCUCUUA